rnacentral:rRNA from 1 species
CCCUUAGAUGUCCUGGGCCGCACGCGCGCUACAAUGACUCACUCAGAAAGUUUUUCCUGAUCCGGAAGGAUUCGGGUAAUCUUCAUAGCAUGAGUCGUGUUAGGGAUCGAUCUUUGCAAUUAUAGAUCUUGAACGAGGAAUGCCUAGUAAGUGCAGCUCAUCAGGCUGUACUGAUUACGUCCCUGCCCUUUGUACACACCGCCCGUCGCUCCUACCGAUCGAAGAGUUAGGUGAAUUGUUUUGAUCGAUAAGAUUUGACUAUGGUCAACUCUCGUUGUGAAAUUCUGUGAAUCUGACUGUUUAGAGGAAGGAAAAGUCGUAACA